GAGGUGAUCCAGCCACACUGGAACUGAGACACGGUCCAGACUCCUACGGGAGGCAGCAGUGGGGAAUAUUGCACAAUGGGCGCAAGCCUGAUGCAGCCAUGCCGCGUGUAUGAAGAAGGCCUUCGGGUUGUAAAGUACUUUCAGCGGGGAGGAAGGGAGUAAAGUUAAU
rnacentral:rRNA from 1 species